GGAGAGAAUUCGGCUGUGUUUGGUUAUGGAAGUGAAUGGAAAUGCAGAGGAGAUUCGGAGUACGUGUAAUUCCAUGAAAGUGCAAAAUCCUCUGCUCUUUUUUGGCGUUUCUUCUGAGUUCUUUGCCCGAGCAUGUUCUUCAACGUUCAAAAUUUAAACGUCCCUUUGGACGAGAUUCAAAACCUGAAAAUUGACAAUCCCGCCCAAAGAGAACACGAAACCCUAGCUCUUCAUCUCCUAUAAAUACCUUUUUAAAUCUCAGCCGAAGGGGAAGCUUAAAAGCUUGGAAUCCAAAAACAUAAAACAACAAAAAAAAAACUCAGUUCAUAUAAUACACUGCUUUUCUUUUAAUCUCAAGCCUUACAAUCUGUGGAAAACUUCUUAAUAUUUAGUCUUCACUAUACAUUCUCAACAACUAAGGAGUGGUAGAUCUGAGACGACCUUGCAAGCCCAGUUCACUGCCCCGCAAAAAGGAUCUUAGGCAAGUGCAUUUGGUAGUCGUCCCAGUGUGCAACCCUGUUAUCCUAAGGCAUAGUGGUGAGGUGCUCUCUGAGUCCUUUCUGCAGCACCGCGGUCUCUCUCUCUUUUGUAUUUACUUUCUGUCUACUCUCUUUCAGACAAUAGCCUAAUGUUUUGUAUAUUAUACUAGAUGCUCAUACACUUGUGACACCAGAUCUUGGAAACAUACCAGUAGACACUUUAUGGCUCUUGGAUAUUUAUUUCAUUGUAUUUGCACUUUUAUUA